rnacentral:rRNA from 1 species
CGGCCGUGAAAGUCUGCUGUGAAAUCCACACGCUUAACGUGAUGGGAGCGCAGCGGAAACUUCAUGGCUAGGGACCGGAGGACGUCGAGGCUAUUCUAUGGGUAGGAGUGAAAUCCCAAGAUCCAUAGAGGAGCACCGGUAGCGGAAGCGCUCGGCGACUACGGAUCCGACGGUGAGGAACGAAAGCUAGGGGAGCAAAGCGGAUUAGAUACCCGCGUAGUCCUAGCUGUCAACAUUGUCCGCUCGACAUGGAGUAACCCUUGAGGUUUCUCUGUGUCCUAGUGAAAACGUUAAGCGGACCGCCUGGGUA